rnacentral:misc_RNA from 1 species
UUUGGUUGUGACCAGGUCACAACAUAUGCACCUACAGAAUCCUCUAAUUGCAAGAAUUGAGGCUCAUUCUAAGAAAAGAAGAAAAGGUACAUGACAGAACAGCAGAGACAGCAUGGGUGAAACUUAGUAGUUAGAGAUGUCAAUAACUUUGGAGGCAAGGAAAGAUUAAAUAAGUCAUUUCCACCAACUGAUCAAAGGGUAGAAUAGGUGUGUCACCAAGGCAUUAACUUUACACUGGAA